AAGAACUAACAAGGAUUUUCUUAGUAGCGGCGAGCGAAAAGAAAUCAGUUCAGCACUAAGUCACUUUGUCUAUAUGGCAAAUGUGAGAUGCAGUGUAUGGAACAUCAAUAUUCUAAUAUGAGAAAUUAACGAUUUAAGUCCUUCUUAAAUGAGGCCAUUUACCCAAAGAGGGUGCCAGGCCCGUAUAACGUUAAUGAUUAUUAGAUGGUGUUUCCAAAGAGUCGUGUUGCUUGAUAGUGCAGCACUAAGUGGGUGGUAAACUCCAUCUAAAACUAAAUAUAACCAUGAGACCGAUAGUAAACAAGUACCGUGAGGGAAAGUUGAAAAGAACUCUGAAUAGAGAGUUAAACAGUACGUGAAACUGCUUAGAGGUUAAGCCCGAUGAACCUGAAUAUCCGUUAUGGAAAAUUCAUCAUUAGAAUUGUAAUAUUUUAAACAUAUUAUAAUAAUAGUGUGCAUUUUUUCCAUAUAAGGACAUUGUAAUCUAUUAGUAUCAAAUCAAUUUAUCAAAAAAUUAUGGCUUAUUGUUUAUUUAAAUUAUGGCACUUCGGUGUUUUUAACAUAAAAUAAAUGUCGUAAAUUUGAUAAAGUACUGAUAGAUUUAUAUGAUUACAGUGCGUUAAUUUUUCGGAAUUAUAUAAUGGCAUAAUUAUCAUUGAUUUUUGUGUUUAUUAUAUGCACUUGUAUGAUUAACAAUGCGAAAGAUUCAGGAUACCUUCGGGACCCGUCUUGAAACACGGACCAAGGAGUCUAACAUAUGUGCAAGUUAUUGGGAUAUAAACCUAAUAGCGUAAUUAACUUGACUAUUAAAUGGGAUUAGUUUUUUAACUAUUUAUAGUUGAAUAACACAAUCCCGGGGCG
rnacentral:rRNA from 1 species